GUCCAGACUCCUACGGGAGGCAGCAGUAAGGGAUAUUGGUCAAUGGGGGAAACCCUGAACCAGCAACGCCGCGUGAGGGAAGACGGUUUUCGGAUUGUAAACCUCUGUCCUCUGUGGAGAUGAUGACGGUAGCAGAGGAGGAAGCUCCGGCUAACUCCGUGCCAGCAGCCGCGGUAAUACGUAGGGGGCAAGCGUUAUCCGGAUUUACUGGGUGUAAAGGGAGCGUAGACGGCAGUGCAAGUCUGAAGUGAAAGGCAAGGGCUCAACCCUUGGACUGCUUUGGAAACUGUGCUGCUGGAGUGUCGGAGAGGCAAGUGGAAUUCCUAGUGUAGCGGUGAAAUGCGUAGAUAUUAGGAGGAACACCAGUGGUGAAGGCGGCUUGCUGGACGAUGACUGACGUUGAGGCCCGAAAGCGUGGGGAGCAAACAGGAUUAGAUACCCUAGUA
rnacentral:rRNA from 1 species